rnacentral:lncRNA from 1 species
AACCUCAUUGGAUAUGAGUUUGCCCCACAGGUUGCUAGGGGUAGGCUGCAGGUUCUGACAGCCAUGUUGUAACACCCGUAAAAUUUACUAACUCAAAUCACCCGCUAAAAAUUUCCCAAAAAUCUUUUCCUUCCCGGCACCCAACGCUGACAAUAAUCUUUUCCUCCCUCCGAAAAUUUCGCCGUGUGCCCAUCAAAAUUUGUCGCGCGUGCCCGACCGAUUCCGUAUUUUUCGCUGACUCCCCCUCUCUCCCCUUUUUCCUUCUUCUCCUUCCCCUUUUUCCUCCUUUUCUUUUCUUCUUUUCCUCCCUUCUCUUUCUUCCUUCUUCCUCCUUUCUCCUUCUUUCUUUCCUCUCCUAUCCUUGUACCGCUACUCACCUGGCCUGCGCACCCGCUG